AUGUCGCACCCCGGCAAGUUUGUAUCCGUUAACCUCAACCGAUCGUACGGCCAGUCCGCCCAAUCCCAAAGUGGCGGCCGCCCCUCCCGCCCCGCUGCCCCCUCUGCCGGCGGCGGCGGCGGCGGCAUGGUGGUGCUUUCCCGCGGUCGCGGCUCCUCCUCUAUGGCCAAGCCGCAGCAGCCCAAGCUCUCCGUACCGCCGCCUCUGAACCUCCCCUCGCUCCGCAAGGAACACGAGCGCUUUGAGGGCGCGACCGCCACUGCAGGCGGUGGGGUCGCCUCAGCCCCGCCCCGAUCCGGCGGGGCCGUGGCUGGGUGGACGAAGCCUGCUCCGGCAUCCGAGAAGCCACUGGGCUCGAUACCGGCUCCUAGUGGCGUUUCCAGGCCCCCGUCGUAUGGAUUCCAGGAGAAAGCUGUCGUCUUGCGGGGCGAGGACUUCCCUUCUCUUAAAGCAGCGGUGGCGCCACCACCUCCGCCACCCGUGCAGCAUCGCCAGAAAGACCUUUAUGGGGCUCAAGCCGCCAUGCCGGAGACACAGCCGAUGUCCCUGGGCAUGCGACCACAUGUGAUGCCCUCGCGUGGUGCUGAGCCCUUGGCUUCUGGUGGCGUCACAGGUACUGGUCUCCAUGGUUCAGUGGAGAAAGUGCAAACUCAUGAUUUGGGGCCGCUGCCACUGGUGCGGCUUAGGUAUGAUGCUGAUUGGGCUGAUGAUGAGCGUGAUACAGUGCUGAGUCUCCCAGAUCGCGACAGUAAAGAGAGGGGAUUUGGUAGGAUUGAGACCAUGGUUCCAGGGUGCGGCCUUUAUGGCGCGACAAUGGAGCACUUAAAAAAUGAGUCCUGGGGGAGAGAUUCCAUUGCUCCCAAUAAAGAGGGCGGGCAAGAUGGUUUGUGGCGAUCUCCUAUGCCAAGCCACAAUGUGGAGAAGACAGAUGGUCGUCCUUACAGUGCAGGCAAAGGAAGCGGACAAUUACUUUACCAUGAAGGCAUUACUAAUGGUGCCUCCAAGGAUUUGUGCAAUACUAGUAAGGAUCCUGCUGUGCGAGCCUAUGGACAGAUGGGGACUGAACUGCAUGGAAGUGCACAUGUUGGGGAAACUGCAGGUGAAUGUUACAAUGAUAAUUCUAAUAACUGGUACAGAGGGAAGUCUUUCCAGAAUAAUCCUGUUUCCAAGGUGAUGCCAUAUCUUGGUAAUAAGGGACCUUUAGUUAAUGAGCUGGGAACAAAAUUUGGCAGGGAUAAGUGGCUCGCUGGAGUCCCUGUAAGGCCUUUAGUUGAGCAUACCGGUUUUGAUAGCAUUUCUGCCGUUAGUUUCAGUUCAAUAAAGAAGAAAAAAGAAACAACCAAACCAUCAGAUUUCCAUGAUCCAGUAAGGGAGUCAUUUGAGGCUGAGCUUGAUAGGAUCUUGAGGGUACAAGAGCAAGAGAGACAGCGGGUAGUGGAAGAACAGGCCAGAGCCAGAGAAAUCGCUCGGAAACAAGAUGAUGAGAGGGAGAAGCUGAUAAGAGAGGAGGAGGAAAGGCGGCGGUUGGUGGAAGAAGAGGCAAGACAGGCUGUUUGGCAAGCCGAGCAAGAGACGCUGGAAGCUGCCAGAAGAGUUGAGGAGCAGAGAAUUGCUAGGGAGGAAGAGAAGACGAGGUUUGCUGUGGAGGAGGAGCGGCGUAGAGAAGCCGCACGUCAAAAGCUCCUGGAAUUAGAGGCAAGGAUUGCUAGACGGCGAGCCGAAUCAAACAUGAGCGAUGGAAAUCUUACUUCAGCUGCCAAUGAUGAACAAACACUUGGAGCCUUGAAAGAUAGAGAUGUGUCACGGUACAAUAAUGCUGGUGAAAGACAUGAUAUUAGCAGACUGGGUGAGCGCAUCAAUACCUCCAUGUCAUCGGUGGCUUCCAGUCUCAACCGGUACAGUGAUACAGUUCCAAGGGCGCUCAACACUAUGGGAGAUGGGCACUCAGGCUUGGUUGAUAGAGAACACGCGUACCACAGUGCAAGGGCUGCAUUUGAAGACCAAGAAAAUCUACAUUACAGUCCACGGCGCGACACUUUGGGUACUAAGAGGGGAAGCUUCCCUAAAAAGGAUUCUUAUGAUGGAUUUCGGCCAUCGUUAGUCGGGCCAUCUUCGAGAGACCAAAUCAAUGAUUCACCAUGGGCACUGGAAGAUUACAGUCAAGGAAGAGUUCCAAGGUGGGAUGCACCGAGGGAGAAUAACUGUUUUGACAAGCAGUCUGAAUUUGACACUCAUUUUUUUAACAGUGAUAGGUUUGGAGAUGCUACAUGGCUGCCUAGUGGUUCCUACGGAAGCCCCAAUGCUCAACAAGGAGAGAGAAUGUUCCAGAACUCCGAGGCUAAUGAUUUCUCCUCUUUUACAAAAUCCUGCUACCCUAUGCGGCAACCACGUGUACCCCCCCCACCUGUUGUGACCUCAAUGCAUGGAAGUGCAAUUAGUGCUUCUAUUCAACGUGCCAAUUCAUCUUUCAUUCAUGAUGUAAUGAGAGAGAGUUCCAGUAGAGAUGAUGAACAAACUAUGCACUGCCAAUAUGGUAGUGCAAACCAAGAGGUAUCCCGCCAGCAUGGGACACCUGCUGAAGACAUUGUUGUCAAUGAGCAGCAAAAUGGGGAUAGGGCGAGCCCUGUCUUGGGCUCACAAUCUUCUCUUUCUGUUUCAAGCCCUCCUAGGUCACCUCCACAUGUUUCCCAUGACGAGAUGGAUGUGUCUGGUGAUUCGCCUGCACUGCCAACUUCUGCUGAUGGUGAUCGUACUGUGGUAUCUGAUAAUGACCAAGCAGCUUCAACUUUAGAUGCAGCAAACAUUAGCAGAAUCGCUACCUCAAGCAUGGCUUCUCACAUGGAGGAUGAUGAAUGGCCAAGUGAACACAAUGAAUCCAAGCAAAAACAGGAUGUGUAUGAUGAGGAAGGCAAUAGCCACCAAGAAGAUGAAAUCAAUGAUGGCGAUGGUGAUACUCUUGACUUGGCUAAUGAGUUCACAGACGUGCAUCUUGACUUGGAUGAUGAGUUUGCAGAUGAACAUAAUACAACUGCAGAAACGGAACCAGUUAUACUUGGAUUUGAUCAGGGUGUACAGGUUGAAAUUCCCCUGAACAGUGAGCUUGAAUUAACUUCUGUGAAGAGCACAGAACUGGAAGUUGGUGUUCACUCGGGCGUCUUGGAGCAAGAGUUGAGAUGUGGUUCAGUUGAUCCUUGUGACCUUGUUACGCUUCAAGACUUAGCUCUUGAUCAAACAAAUGCCUUGACCGAUGCAUCCAAUGUUGAUCCAUCCGGUAGCACAGCUGUGUCAAGUUCCAAGUUACCUCAGGCAUCUUUUGCCCCCCCUAUUGAUUCAUCAACAUCAGCAGUAAUUGACCAGAAUGAAGUUCCUGUUAGUCUGCAGGUCGGUUUGUUUUCCAGGUCAUCUUUAAUACCAACUCCGGUUCGAGCCAUUCAGAUUGGCUCCAUACAGAUGCCAAUCCAUCUCCACAAUCAGAUUAACCCAUCCCUGGCUCAACUGCUCCCUUCAUCGGCUCCUUUAUUCAAGUUUGGUCAGUUGAGGCAUGUCCGCCCUAUUGCCCAGAAUGUUCGACCACAUUCUCAGGCAGUGCCCUCCAUUCAGGCCCCCGCACCAACUCCACAUAUAUCGAAACAGAAUGCUUCGAGUGGUAUACCUAAUGAGAUGGAUCCAAAUGCAAACCAGAAUACCCCUAGAGAAUCAAAUUUGCAUCAGCGCAAUGAAUCUGAAAUCAACCGGAUGGCUGAUUUAAAUGAAUUUCACAGCCAAUUAGACAGAACUUCAAUUGAACAAAAUGCAUCUUUCGGACUUUCAAAAGGUGAUUCUCAGAGGAAUAAUGAUCUCUCCUCAAAGCGGAAUCACAAAUCUUCUUUCAAUAACACAGAAUCUUCUCAAGUUGGUUCAUAUGGGAAAGCCUUGAGUGGCCUAAAGGCAGGCGCUGUAUCUGGUGGAAGUGGGAGAAGAUACGGUUAUGCUGUUAAAGAAUCUAAUAUGGGAUCAACAGGCUCAGCUGUUGAACCUUUUCAUAAAGAUUCCAGAGGAUUCCAGAGAAGGUCUCGUAGGAACAUAAGAAGAACUGAAUUUAGAGUGCGGACAAAUGUUGAGAAGAAUGAAACCCUAGCUUCUGAGUGCCACAAUGAGCAGAAUGAGAAUCCGGUUCCCAAUGGAUUGGCAAGGGAGAUCCUGGUGAGAAAUGUGAACAGAAAGGAAGGUACAAAUGAUGCAAGUGAUAUUAAUGGAGCAGAUUCUUCAUCUAUAUCUGCUCAUCAUUAUAGUAAAACAGAGAGAAUUGCACAGAAGGCUCCAUCUUAUGACAGGUCUCAUUGUGGGUACAAGAAAUCUAGAGCAGGUGGUAUCCCCGAGGGAGACGCUAAUACCUCGUUACAUGCUGGAGUUGUACUCAUUGUUAGGCAGCAAGGCGUUGAAAUGCCUGUUGAUGCAGAUGGUUUCAUUGAAGUCAGGUCCAAGAAGCAGAUCAUGAGUGUCAGGAGAGAGCAGAGGGAGAAAGAAAAUAGAUCCAAAAUAAGGAUGGCAAAGGCUCCCCGCAAGCAGCAUCAAAUGUCUCUACACAGUUCUAGCAGUUCAAGUAUUUAUAAGGGGACAGUUUCUUUGGGUGGGGAACCUGCGAAGAAAGUUUCUUCGGGUUCUGUCCUUGCAGUUGAAGGAAGGGUCCUUGAUCAUGCCGAACCAUCAUCUUCAUUCAUGGGUGAUACAGCUUCAAUGGCACCCAUAGGGCGGCCACCUUCAGCUAACACAGGACCUCGUGCAAACUACCAUGCAAAGAAGCCUAUCCGAAGCCAGGCAACCUCCGACUUGAUAACUUCUAGUGCCGCAACAAAGCUUGUGGCAUGCUUAUCAGAAAGCAAUAAUAAAACAUCGUCCAUUGGCACUCCAUUUAACAUGGGCAACUGGGAUAGUUCACAAACGAACCAGCAGGUUAUGCCAUUAACUCAAAUUCAACUUGAGGAAGCAAUGAAACCAGCAAAGUUUGAACAAGGAGGUUCUGGCUUUCCUUUGGAGUCCAAUAAUGCUCUAUCUCCUACAGUAACCAUGGACAUGGCAUACACAUCAUCUGCUAGCCCUAUCAAUUCUCUUUUGGCUGGGGAGAAGAUUCAGUUUGGGGCAGUUACCUCGCCAACCGUACUGGCUCCCAUCACCCGAACAAUUUCAAAUGGGCUUGGUGCUCCAGGUUCAUCUUGGGCUGAAAUGAAGAUUGACCGAAAUUUGCCUGGUGAUAACAGUAGUGCUGCUGUUUUGUUCGAUAAGGAGAAGGCUACUACUAAAGAUCAAUGUCCAAACUCAGAGGAGGUUGAAGCUCAAGCUGAGGCUGAAGCAGCUGCUUCUGCUGUGGCUGUUGCAGCUAUUUGUACUGAUGAGGCAGUUGGAACUGCAGCUUCUGCUUCAGACAAAAAUAGCUUUAGCAGUAAGGAUCUCACUCGGUUAACAGCCGGAGGGGCAAUAACAGGUCAACCUGGUCAAUCAUCUGGAGAGGAGCCACUGACGGUUGCUCUUCCAGCAGACCUGUCAGUUGACACUCCGUCAAUGUCCCUGUGGCCUUCUUUACCAAGCCCACAGGUGCCAGGGCCAACGCUUUCUCAGUUCCCCAUUGCACAGCCGUCUCACGUCUCUUGUUUCGAGAUGAACACAAUGUUAGGAGCACAUCCUUUUGCAUUUGGGCGAAGUGAUGAAUCUGCCGGCACUUUGGGUCAACAGCCUCAAAGAAGCAACGCUUUGCCUUCAGCACAGUUGGGUGCUUGGCCAUCUAUGGUGGAUUCAUUUUAUCGUCCCCCUACUGGAUUCGCUGGUCCUUUCAUUAGCCCUGGAGGAAUCCCAGGCGUGCAAGGUCCUCCACAUAUGGUGGUCUACAACCACUUUGCCCCACUUGGGCAAUUUGGUCAAAUGGGGCUUGGUUUUAUGGGAGCCACUUACAUUCCUGGUGACAAGCAGCCUGAUUGGAAGCAAAACCAAGGACCUUCUGUUGGCGUCAGCCAGAGUGAUCCAAACAACCAAAAUGUGCUACCUGGUCAAGUAACCUCACCCAGUUUUCCUACUCAAGUGCCACAUCUACGUGCAACUUCUAUCAUGCCAAUCCCAUCCCCGCUGACAAUGUUUGACAUGGCUUCAUUCCAGUCAUCUGCGAAAAUACAGGUGCAACCUUGUUGGCCACGUGUGCCUAUGCACUCUGUCCCGUUGUCAGUGCAACUGCAACAGCAUCCAAUAGAUGGUAUAGCAGCAUCACAGUAUGUUGAUAAUGUGGUAAUUGACAAGUCAAGUACAAAUGGGCGGUUCCAGGAGCCCUCAACAUCAGAUAGCAACAAGAGUUUCCCAAGUAUAGCUGCCUCCCAGUCGUCGGAUGUUAAACAGCCAGCCUCAAGCAGUUCAGAUGCUCGAACUGCUGAGCCUUCAUUUGUCCAGAAAGGUGUGAUCGGCAGUGAAAUCCCAAAUAGCAACCCCAAGUCUGGUCAAGUUGCCAAGAUGCCCCCGAAGCCACACCAGUCUUCAUUACCAUCGGAUCAACAGUUCAAACAUCCAGUUAAUAAUAAUCAGGAUCGUCCGGCCAGGGUUACCCAAAGGGCUGGAACUGUGAAUGAAUGGCAACGUCGGUCAGGACAUCCAGGGAGGAGCUCUGGUUCCGACAAGAAAUAUGGCACUGGUAGGAUGAAGCAGAUCUAUGUUGCCAAAUCGUCAUCAACAAGUAGCCAGGCCCCAUCAAGCUAA
rnacentral:rRNA from 1 species